AUCAAUUGUCAUACGGCACAUAUUGCUGGUACCAAAAGUCAGAAAAUAUCUCCUGUUCUACUUUUCACAUUUGAUGUGAAGAGCAUCACUUCGGAUCUGGGAAGUGGGGGACAAUAUGUUGGUGUAACUAACUGACUUCUGGCUAUGUGGCAACUUCAAGAGGGAAGAGUUACAUCGACCAAGUCCACUUCUGAGUCAAGUCGAUAAAAUAUUGAUCUAGUUUGGCUUUAAGCCUGAUAUUAUACCAAUCUGAGUUGAUUUGGAUUGGAUCUUGAUAGAAUAUUGUGAUUAGUUUAGCUUUAUACCUAUCUAUAGAUAGGGAUGUCGGUCCUAAACCAAUGUAACCCA
rnacentral:lncRNA from 1 species